CACAACAGUUGGAAAUUUAAUUGUUGGGAGGAUAUUUUGGUCCAAAAAAUUUAAAAUUUUAAAAUAAUUUAAAAUUUUAAUAUUUUUAUAAAUAUAUUUUAAAAUUUUAUUUUUUUACUGAUAUAUUAUUUUUUUAAAAAAUAAUAUUUUUAUUUUUAUUUUUAAAAAAAUUUAAAUAUUUUUAAAUAAAAUUAAUAAAAUAAAAAAAGGUUGGCCUGAAGCUAGGCCUUGCCCGGCACGACCCGUACAGUCUGGGCCGGGCGGCUGUGUUGGGCAGGGUUCCAAGAACUUUGGGCCGGCACGGCACGGCCUGAUUUUGGGGCUGGGCCGUGUCGGGUUGGCCUCCGGCCCGUUUCGGCCCGAAAAAUAUGGACCGUGCCGGCCCGGCACGGCCCACAUUACAUCCCUACACAUAGGCCACGGAGGCAUGUGAGAGAGAAGAGAGAUUUAUCUUUUUGUGAAUAUAGAAGACGAGAGAAGAAUAGGAGAAAUUUAAAAAAAAGGUUUGAGUUGAAACUAUUCUAUUGCAGAAGAGGAGUUAGAUGUAAUAUUUUCUUAUUUACUAUACUCGUAUAUUUUUUGUUUGAUUUUCUAUUUUUUGUAAUUGUAUUAAUUUUUGCUGAAGAAAUGAAUUUAUGAAAAAAAUUUGAUUCGACGCUUUCGUUGCGAAAUUUCAAUAAUUUGCGAAUAGAAGAUCGGAGUGGACUCCCUUGUUAUCUAGCCCAAGCUCGAAUUACAUUUCUCAGCUCUAGCCCAAUAGAGCUCGAGAUAAAU
rnacentral:lncRNA from 1 species